rnacentral:rRNA from 1 species
GCCUACGGGGGGCAGCAGUGGGGGAUAUUGCACAAUGGGGGGAACCCUGAUGCAGCGACGCCGCGUGGGUGAAGAAGCGCCUCGGCGCGUAAAGCCCUGUCAGCAGGGAAGAAAAUGACGGUACCUGAAGAAGAAGCCCCGGCUAACUACGUGCCAGCAGCCGCGGUAAUACGUAGGAUGCGAGCGUUAUCCGGAUUUAUUGGGUUUAAAGGGUGCGCAGGCGGGAGAUCAAGUCAGCGGUAAAAUGUCGGGGCUCAACCCCGGCCGGCCGUUGAAACUGGGUUUCUUGAGUUGGAGAGAAGUAU